CGCAGCCUUACGGGACUUGGGGUUUUCUGGACCCCGCCCGCGGGCGCCCCGGACGGCCGGACGGACUACAAGUCCCGGCGGCCCCCGCGCGCUGCCGCCCCGACUUCCGGGGUAGCGUUUAAAUCCCCAGCGAGGCUGCGGGUGAAAGGACAGGAGAAGGGGGGAGGGGCUGCCUUCCUGGGACAUGGCGCUGCGGGCGGGCGGGGCUCGGUCCCGGGGGAGGCACAGCCGGGGCCGGUGCUGGGGCCCGGCCUGGCCACAGCCCCUGGCACACACAUACCAUCAGGAGUGGAUGAGCCAACAGGCCCCCGGUCUGCAACCCUGAUGCUGAGCCUCCUCAGAAGGGCUUUUGGGCCUGAUUCUGAUUUCUCAUUGCUUGUAAAAGGCUACAACCUCACUGAUGUCAACAGAGCUAAACAGCUCCUUUGAAGAAACCUCUCUUCUAGCACCAUCUCCAUAAUUCUGCGCCUUGCCAUAAAGAACUUGUAAAUUAAGUGCCCACACUGGUUACCAAACAAUGGGAUUCACUAUUUUUUGGGACUUUGGAACCUGGAGAAAAGAUCUUCACAUCUGCCAAGAACAGUCAACUGUCAACCCAUGACUGGCAUCCUCAACGGGUAUGAAACCGUCCAAUUGUUGGCACUGCAGGCCUUCCUCUGUGUCCGUACAAUAGGUUCCCUAUCAGAACUGAAUCCUCGGAGCACUGCUACGUAUUUAUUAUUGGGUAGAAUGAAUGAACCACCAUAUAAGACACACUGGUUUCAUUACAUAAGAAUAAAAAAGGGAAAAUAUUCCUCCUGGGUCAUUUUUUGCUUUACUGGGAAUUAAGUCAAUGCCAGAAUUCCCACUGACUUUGGUGGAAACAGGAGAAGGUUCUCCAUACAUAGCUUCAAGCCAGCAAAGGCCAUGCAUAAGUAUGUGAGAAAGCACAAUGGCUUUAUCUGCUAGCGUUUCCCCAGUGUAGCUGGGGCAGCCACACCCUUUACAGCUGUCAGUUUGUUUUGUGAUAUGAAUGGCAAAAUAUUGGUGACAAAAUAUUGGCAUAGGGUCAGUUGCAAGUUGGAUCCUCAUAGAUUACUUCCAAGUAAAAUAAUCGAACAGCUUCUCUUGGCUAAGCUAAAAUAAGCAAAUAUCAUACAUUAUUUUCUGUAUUAUCAUCUUCAGAAUAUAGUUUCUAGUACUUAUCUGAAAUGUGUAACCAGCAGCAAUGGUAUGAACAAGAGCAAAUUUAUUUCUGCACUUGAUUAUAAGUUUGAAACAUUUCAGAAUAAGAAUUACCAUGACAAAAGGAAGCAUUCUGUCCUUGAAGCGAAUAUGGAGAAGCACAAAUUGUUCAGUCAGACUUUGAAAGAAAACAGAGCUAUCAAGGCCAGAACUGAUCCCUUUAAAAAGAGAAAUGAGAAAGGAUUCAAAAUACCCUGGUGAUGAGCACUAAAGAAAUCACAAUUAAUAUAAAUGAUUACAUUAAUUAAAGAGAAAGAAAAGUUUGAGGACUUCUUUUAAAGUCAGGGUCUGAUACACGGGGAAGCGUAAGAAUAAAAUUCUCCAGGGCCUUGCUUGGAGUCCAGAAUCAGCGUGACUCCUUCCCUUGAAGAAAGUGAAAACUAGAGGAGGCUGAGUUGGCUGAUCCCAUACGGCGGGCUUUAAACUAGCUUCGCCGGGGGAAGGGGCCGCUCCAAGUAGAGAGGUUGCUUCGCCAGCAUGCAGGGUGACAAGAGAAAGGGACGCGCAGGAUGUUGGAGCUGAACAAAUUCUGUGAUGGCCGGAGAACUACUGACAGCAGGAAAAUGAAGAGUAAAAGUAGAGGGAAAACGAUUUUAAAUCAAGGUUUAAGACUGUGAGUUAUGUGAACAUUUAAGCCAAAUAACAAAAAAACAUUUUGGAGAUGGAAAUCUUAAAGGCUCAACACCACCAUUCCAGUUAAGAUCCUGAGUCAAAGCCUGAACUUCUGCCACUCAAGAAAGGAAAUGCUGAUCCAAACUUGGGCUCCCACAACAGCAUUACAGAGCAAAGUCUGAUUAGAAAGCAACAUGUUCAACAGGCAAAAACCAUAAAGGUCCAGUCUUACUUAUCCAAAAGUAGUCAGUGAUGUUUCCAAGUUUAGCAUUUUUAUGGUAUUUCUGCCUCAGAAAAGACAUGAAUCCUUGUUUGUACCAAUGCAUUCGAGGCCAUCUAAACCAUCUGUAACAUAGGCCUAGUCUAUGCUAGGUAAUUACAUUUUAACAGGACAUGUAUUAAAUAAUACAACAAUCCUUGCUUUCUCUAAAGUGUCAGUUGAUCCCAAUUAACAUAGGGGCUUUUAACUGUCUAGAAUGGGACUUUUUCCCUGAAUAAAUAUUGCAUUUGAAACUUAGAUUAUACCUUAACCCUCAUACGUUCCCAUGGGGUAAUUUCCUAUCCCAGACCUAUAUUUUGUGCAGUAUCUUAAAGUUAAUUAAUUCUAAAACAUUUUCUUUUUUGGACAUUGUCACUGGCACUGCAGUGCACAAUAUCCCCAAAGAACAGCCAGCUUACAUGAAUGGUUUGCUCUCUGUGGAUGAAAAAUUGCCCAGGGUAACAUGUUACCCCAGGUGUGAAUGUGUUUUUCCAUAUGGGGUAACAACUUACCCCAAGCCCAUGUUAACGCAUUGGGGUAAUUAUCCCCGUGCAAUUUCUGUAAAAAUGACAGGCCUAGACCUGUUUGGCCACUUUAAGUGGACGCAUCUGAAAGGUCAGCAUUCAUUCACACCUCAUUCAUGUCCACUUCAUGUAUCCAUGGUAACUAAUGGAUGACCAUCCUCCACUCUGCUUUUGCUGGGGAACGCACCCUAGUUUCCUAUGUUCCAAAGAAGUCCAAAGUUGUGCUGUUGCUGUCAAGCAUGCGCCAUGACCUGUCAGUGGGUGGAAAGCAAAGAAAGCUGGACAUCGUCCAUGACUACAAUAAAAACAAGGGUGAGGUAGAUAACAUUGACCACUUAGUCCAUAUGACCACCUGCAGACAGAUAAUCAAUAUUUUUCAAUAUGCUGGAUGUGGCUGCCAUUGUCAGCCUCAUCAUUUAGCUAGGCCACAACGCAAACUGGAAGCAAAGAUCAUAUUUAAGAAGACGGCACUUUUUUUUGCAGGAGCUUGGAGAACAGUUGAUCAACGGACAAAUAAAAUGGAGAAUGAUGGAUACACGUAAUCUGUCUAAAUCUGUCAAGUCUGGUAUGACUGCCCUAAAUUACAAAUUGCCACAACACACCCCAGUACAACUUUCUGCAAGCACGAGUGGACAUUGUGCUUUUUGUCUAAGGACAGAUGACCUCAAAACCUGGAAACAAUGCAAAGAUUGUAAGCAAUUUGCUUGUGUACACCACAGUACAUCACUGCUGCGUUGUGAGGAAUGUAAUAUUUAGUUAAAACAGUUAGGAAAUGUUUUUGGAAGUAAUUGUUAGUUUGAAAACAGUGUGACCUGCAGACUUAGCAAAUUGUUCAUUCACGUUUUAAAAUUCUAAAAAAAGGUAAAAUUUUGUUCAUAGUUCUAGUUAAAUAAUAUUUUGGGUUCAAAUCAUCAUAAAUACUCUUUCAAAUAAUCUGUAUAUUUAAUAAAUAGUUUUUGGUACAUUUA